GACGAACGCUGGCGGCGUGCCUAAUACAUGCAAGUCGAGCGGACGGAUGGGAGCUUGCUCCCAGACCGUCAGCGGCGGACGGGUGAGUAACACGUUGGCAACCUGCCUGUAAGACUGGGAUAACUCCGGGAAACCGGGGCUAAUACCGGAUAACUCUUUCCCUCACAUGAGGGAAAGCUGAAAGAUGGCAUUUCGCUAUCACUUACAGAUGGGCCCGCGGCGCAUUAGCUAGUUGGUGAGGUAACGGCUCACCAAGGCGACGAUGCGUAGCCGACCUGAGAGGGUGAUCGGCCACACUGGAACUGAGACACGGCCCAGACUCCUACGGGAGGCAGCAGUAGGGAAUCUUCCGCAAUGGACGAAAGUCUGACGGAGCAACGCCGCGUGAGUGAUGAAGGUCUUCGGAUCGUAAAACUCUGUUGUCAGGGAAGAACAAGUGCCGGAGUAACUGCCGGUGCCUUGACGGUACCUGACCAGAAAGCCACGGCUAACUACGUG
rnacentral:rRNA from 1 species